rnacentral:rRNA from 1 species
GACGAACGCUGGCGGCGCGCCUAACACAUGCAAGUCGAGCGAUGAACAUUGAAUGAUCCCUUCGGGGUGAUUUCGAUCGGAUUAGCGGCGAACGGGUGAGUAACGCGUGAGGAACCUGCCUCUUACAACGGGAUAGCCUCGGGAAACCGGGAUUAAUACCGUAUAAGACUCCGACAUCUCCUGAUGAUGAAGUCAAAGCGUUAGCGGUAAGAGAUGGCCUCGCGUCUGAUUAGCUUGUUGGCGGGGUAACGGCCCACCAAGGCGACGAUCAGUACCCGGCCUGGGAGGGUGAACGGUCACAUUGGAUCUGGGACACGGUCCAAACUCCUACGGGAGGCAGCGGUGGGGAAUUUUGCACAAUGGGGGCAACCCUGAUGCAGCGACGCCGCGUGAGCGAUGAAGGUUUUCGAAUCGUAAAGCUCUGUCCUAUGGGAAGAUAAUGACGGUACCAUGGGAGGAAGCCCCGGCUAACUACGUGCCAGCCGCCGCGGUAA